UACAGAGGGGGCAAGCGUUAUUCGGAAUUAUUGGGCGUAAAGGGCGCGUAGGCGGCUUGGCAAGUGGAUGGUGAAAUCCCUCGGCUUAACCGAGGAACUGCCGUCCAAACUGCUUAGCUUGAGACCGGGAGAGGUGAGUGGAAUUCCCAGUGUAGCGGUGAAAUGCGUAGAUAUUGGGAGGAACACCGGUGGCGAAGGCGGCGUUCUGGACUGUAACUGACACUGAUGAACGAAAGCCAGGGGAGCAAACGGG
rnacentral:rRNA from 1 species